rnacentral:lncRNA from 1 species
UCGGGACCUUGCGCUUGCGAGGCAGGGAGCGGAACCACUGAGCUAAAUCCCCGGCCCCUGUAAAACUUCUCUUACUAGACUUGGAGAUCCAAUGAUAUUCUUUAGGCAAGGUUUUGAAACAGCCAAUUGGAGGCAUUAUUCAAUUCUCCUUGCUGCUGAUUGGCUGCUGCCCUGUAACCCAUCCGGCAGA